AACGAACGCUGGCGGCAUGCCUAACACAUGCCAGUCGAACGAGACCUUCGGGUCUAGUGGCGCACGGGUGCGUAACGCGUGGGAACCUGCCCUUAGGUUCGGAAUAACUCAGAGAAAUUUGAGUUAAUACCGGAUGAUGUCUUCCGACCAAAGAUUUAUCGCCUUUGGAUGGGCCCGCGUUGGAUUAGCUAGUUGGUGGGGUAAAGGCCUACCAAGGCGAGGAUGCAUAGCUGGUCUGAGAGGAUGAUCAGCCACACUGGGACUAAGACACGGCCCAGACUCCUACGGAAGGGAGCAGUGGGGAAUAUUGGACAAUGGACGAAAGCCUGAUACAGCCAUGCCGCGUAAGAGAUGAAGGCCUUAGGGUUGUAAAGCUCUUUUAGCCGAGAUGAUAAUGACGGUAUCGGGAGAAUAAGCACCGGCUAACUACGUG
rnacentral:rRNA from 1 species